GUGAGUGUAGCCCAGUUGGCCUAAGGCGUCAGGUUGUGGCCCUGAAGAUCGAGGGUUCAAAUCCCUCCACUCACC
rnacentral:tRNA from 1 species